AUCAAAGUCAAACUCUAUGUAGAAAUAUAGGACUGGCAGUAGCAGCACUGCAGCAGCAACACUGUCUGUGUGGACACUGCAGGUGUGUGAGACGCAGCAGUUCAGUGAUGCACACACACUGUUCAGGUAAAGGUAGGCUGUGUGUUCCAGGAGUUAGAGGCACCACACUGAGGAGGGGGUUGCUUCUGUCUCCCCAACUCAGGUGAGAUGAAUAAAGGGAAAAACAAUGUCUGUUGCUCGUUCUUCUCUGGCCUCUCAUCUUACAUCUUUCUAUGACAUAACGUCACGCAGGCAGCCUGCUUGGCAGCAGGUGUUCUCUCCUCUACUCAUCUGCACUGUGCCUGAGUUUCUUCUCCAGAAAUGUUGCACAAGGUUCAUGGUCACGGAAGGUUUCAUCACCGAAGGGUGUCAUCCACUCUCCAAGAAACCAGGUAAAGUAGGUCUGAGCUUCAGUCCAAUUCAUGGGUUCAGCAACAAAGUGGUACUGAUGGAGACGACAUGUGGAGAAGAUGGACCAGCCUGUGAGGAAAACACCACUUUUUAACAUAGCCUGAAGGAGUUGUCGGACAUGCUGUUUCAUUUCCUCAUUGUUACAGUUGAUAUUCAUUUGCAGAGCUUUAUGUUGGGAGUGGAAGUUUCCCCAAGGACUGAUUUUACUGACCCAGCCGCUAACAGUAAUAUCUUUGAACAGCA